rnacentral:lncRNA from 1 species
CAUCGCUUGAACCCAGGAGGAGGGAGGUGCAGUGAGACGAGAUCGCGCCACUGCACUCCAGCCUGGGCGACAGAGCGAAACUCCAUCUCAAAAAAAAAAAAAAAAAAAAAUCCUUAGGGACCGCCCAGAGGCUGGUGACACCUGCAAUGGUACCUCCAUGGCCGCGCCUCUGAGGUCACCGCUCCAGAAGGUCCCAGGCCGGCGUGGAAACCUAUUACUAAGUGGGGCGGGUGGACACCAGCAGGUCCCGCCCUAAAGGAGUCCCGCGGACGCUUGGGCCUCAGUUCCUCUUUCCUGCCCAAGUAUCUCCCCAGCUCUGACGAAACAGGCAACUUCCAGACUGUGGCGUUAGCUCAGCGACUGCAGUGAGCCGCCCGGAAGAUCCUGGUCCCGUCAGCCAGCUGACCCACAUGCGUUGCGGAGGCGCUGACCACCCCGCUUCGCUGGCUGCUGGGGGGUCACGUGAGGACCUCGGGGUCACGUGAGGUCCUCGGGCGCCGCAGGGAGGGCGGCAUCCAAGUCUUUCUGCGCGUGCGCGAGCGUCCGCGGUCACUUACGUAGAACAGUCUCAAAUCGCACCGUUAGUACCGGCCCCCUUUGCCUUUCUGCCUUGCCCCUCCGAGUCCCGACCCAAGAUCCCAAGUAAUCGUCUUCCCCCUGCACCAGGGCCGGGACCAGGCAGCCAAGAGACGCGGAGACAGACUACUGGGACUGCGACGUCUCCUCUCCUGUUCGCUGCGAUAUGCCGGCGUCGUGUUGAGCGGGCUGCGGACACAGACAGCCUGCCCGGCCCCACUGAGUGUUUGAUCCCCAUCCUCGCAGCUCUCUAGAGGACCAGAGUUGGCGGUGCAGCCCAGCGGAGCUUCGAAGCGACAUGUCCUCCAACAUUUUAGCCCAGCAAGUCUUGUGGCCCCUGAGGAUAUAACCCAGAGAGGGCUGCUUUCUGGGAUUUCUCGGCUGUGGUUCAAGUGGAGUCCACACAGUUGAGACCCUGUCUGCCCUGGGCAGCUUUCUUGACCCUUGGGGGACCAGCUCACAAUAAAUCCUAGGCUUCUGUUGCUCCUUGCUGCCUAUCCAUAAGCAAUAAACCUGCUUCA